rnacentral:miRNA from 1 species
ACCUCGUACCUGAACACCACG